AACGUAGGAGACAAACGUUAUCCGGAGUUACUGGGCGUAAAGGGCGUGUAGGUGGUUGAGUAAGUCUGGCGUGAAAUUUCCCGGCUUAACCGGGAGUGGUCGUCGGAUACUGCUUGACUUGAGGACGGUAGAGGCGUGUGGAAUUCCGGGUGUAGUGGUGAAAUGCGUAGAGAUCCGGAGGAACACCAGUGGCGAAGGCGACACGCUGGGCCGUACCUGACACUGAUGCGCGACAGCAUGGGGAGCAAACAGG
rnacentral:rRNA from 1 species